rnacentral:rRNA from 1 species
UACGAAGGGGGGCUAGCGUUGUUCGGAAUUACUGGGCGUAAAGCGUGCGCAGGCGGCUUUCCAAGUCAGUGGUGAAAGCCCGGAGCUCAACUCCGGAAAUGCCAUUGAAACUGUGAAGCUUGAGAACGAGAGAGGUGAGUGGAAUUCCCAGUGUAGAGGUGAAAUUCGUAGAUAUUGGGAAGAACACCAGUGGCGAAGGCGGCUCACUGGCUCGUAUCUGACGCUCAGGCGCGAUAGCGUGGGGGAUCAAACAGG